rnacentral:rRNA from 1 species
UACGUAGGGGGCAAGCGUUGUCCGGAAUCAUUGGGCGUAAAGAGCGUGUAGGCGGCCAUAUAAGUCCGCUGUGAAAACUCGAGGCUCAACUUCGAGCUGGCGGUGGAAACUUUCUGGCUAGAGUCCGGAAGAGGAGAAUGGAAUUCCUGGUGUAGCGGUGAAAUGCGCAGAUAUCAGGAAGAACACCCGUGGCGAAGGCGGUUCUCUGGGACGGUACUGACGCUGAGACGCGAAAGCGUGGGGAGCGAACAGG